rnacentral:rRNA from 1 species
UACGUAGGUGGCAAGCGUUGUCCGGAAUUAUUGGGCGUAAAGCGCGCGCAGGCGGCUUCUUAAGUCUGAUGUGAAAUCUCGGGGCUCAACCCCGAGCGGCCAUUGGAAACUGGGAAGCUUGAGUACAGAAGAGGAGAGUGGAAUUCCACGUGUAGCGGUGAAAUGCGUAGAUAUGUAGAGGAACACCAGUGGCGAAGGCGACUCUCUGGUCUGUAACUGACGCUGAGGCGCGAAAGCGUGGGGAGCAAACAGG